GGGCAUGUGGAGGUUCCCAGGCUAGGGAUCAAAUCAGAGCUAUAGCUGCCAGCCUACACCAGAGUCAUAGCAACGCCAGAUUCAAGCCCCUAGUUCUGCGACCUUCACCACACCUCAUGGCAAAGCCGGAUCCCGAACCCACUGAAUGAGGCCAGGGGUGGAACCUGUGUCCUCAUGGAUACUAGCCGGGUUUGUUACCACUGAGCCACCAUGGGAACUCUGCCUACCCCCAGUCUCUCCCAAGUCUGCAGGGGCCCACACUGGAUACUCUGGACCUCCGCCCCAUCUCUACCCCAACCUGCGGGGGUGAAGUUGAGUACCUGAGUCAGACUCCUGAUUUGCUGGAUGUAUGACCUUGGGCAAGUCACUUGGUUUCACUGUGCCUCCAUUUCUUCAUCUAAAAUGGGGAUAAUGUAUGCACCUGCCCACAGGGAGAGAUGACACACGUGAAGCGCUUAGUGCCCCGCUUGGCAAAUAGGGCUCAAACCGUGCUGGCAGGCAUAAUCUCUACUCCUUUUCAAGAGCUUCCUCCCUGUCAGGUUUCCAAGUCCAUGCUUCUAACACCAGUUCAAAAUUGCUCUCUUCCUGGGAGUCUCCAAGGAAUCCACUCAGACCAUCUUUUGGUUUUCCUUUUUUUUUCUUUUUUCUUUUUGCUUUUUAGGGCCACACCCGCGGCAUAUGGAGGUUCCCGGGCCAGGGGUCCAAUUGGAGCUACAGCUGCCGGCCUACACCACAGCCACAGCAACACAGGGUCCGAGCCGCCUCUGUAACCCACACCACAGCUCAUGGCAAGGCCAGAUCCUUAAUCCACUGAGCAAGGACAGGGAUUGAACCCACAACCUCAUGGUUCCUAGUCGGAUUUGUUUCGUUUGUGCCAAACCAUCUAUUUGUUUGUUUGUUUGUUUAGGGCUUUUUAGGGCUGCACCUGUGGUAUAGGGAAGUUCCCAGGCUAGGGGUCUGUUUGGAGCUCCGGCUGCCAGCCUAUGCCACACCACAGCUCAGAGCAAUGCUGGUUCAUCUGACCCACUUAGCAAGGCCAGGGAUCAAACCUGUAUCCUCAUGGAUACUAGCCAGAUUUGUUUCCACUGUGCCACAACGGGAACUCCUUGUUUGGGGGGUUUCUUUUUUUUUGCUUUUUAGGUUGGCACCUGUGGCAUAUGGAAGUUCCCAGGCUAGGCUUUUGCUUUGUUUUUGUUUUUUUUUUCUUUUUUAACUGAGUCUCCCUGGAGAUGUUUGGAGUAUAUCUACAUAUACGGAUGAGUUCCUGUCUUAUUUCCUCUGGCUGUUGUUUCCUUCCUUUCCAUGCAGUGGUGGGGGAGGGG
rnacentral:lncRNA from 1 species